UGCACCUCAUGCACUUGUCAGUCGCACUGUGAGAGGAUGCACACCGCACGGAGUUGCUCACUUUAUUUUUGCAGCGCAAAAUUUGCGCCAUUUUGGUGCGGGAUAGACUUGAACGAAAAGCGGACUUGAACAGUUUUGGGACUGUAUUGACCGAAAAGAGAAAGAGGAGCAGGAGUAGUGUGGAAAGGAAAAUGCUAACGUCAUCGCCCCCGAAGUUGGCUUUUGAUGCGAGAAGGCCGCCGGCGCGGAGGAGGAGCUCGUCCGUCAGCCCGCGGAUGGAAACACGGGUGGGUGGUUGCAAGGCUGGAUGAAUGCGUGUAGACGACUGAACUCGGAGACCCCGGUGCAGCUCAUCAUCAUUGCCACGGGCUCUCGUUCGCUCCUCCUGUGGCCCGAACCUCCAUCCUCGGGUCCAGCUCAAGCUAGUGAGUGGGCAGGGAAGGAUGGAGAAGGUCCCCGAAGGCUAAAAGCACCUCUGCGGGAGGAAUCAAUACCGAGCAUGCUUUCCUCCGAGUAGGGUUUCCUCUACCUCGGGGGCCCGCCGGCCUCCAAAGGACAGACCCUGUGUGGCCCCUCUCAGCUGGACCGGACCCUGUAUCUCCACUUGGCUGUGUGUGGUUUUGCUGAGGGGGAUCCCUCCCUCCGUUCAUUGAUUCCAAUACAGUGAAUGCUGAAACACAGCCAAACUGGAUCGUUUUUUUUUUUUUCCUUCAUCUUUUUUUCUUGCAACCAAUUGACAACCUCCCCGCCUUCAAUCAAAACCACUCUGGGACUUUUGACGUCGUUCCAUCUUAAACGAUCUAGUUCUGCAACCAGCUGACGAAAGAAGAGCGACGUGACAUGUGUUUUUCCAAUCCCACAAAAUGGAUUGAACGUUCAAGAAAAGGACUCAGCUUGUGAAUGCAACCCAGGAAAAAGAACUUCGAUUCUUGAUUGUGGACUUACAAAAAUGAAUUCCUGUCACCGGAAUUACACAUGAAAAAUAUGUGUUUAUUUUUUGGAAAUGCACUGCAAAUAAAAUCCAAUUAUGUCUUUUGUGUUUUCACGACAAUUCAAAUUGAAAAGGAACUGAACAUUGUUUCUCUCUCUCUCUCUCUCUCUCUCUCUCUCUCUGAAGAAUUGACAUUAUUUUUUCCAUUAAAACGUGUUAAUAUCCUGUUAGUGUCAGGCCAAUAAAAAUCACAUUGAUUUAAACAUGAUGCUUUGGUGUGUUUGUUGAUUUUUUUUGUGUUUGAAUGUGAUUGAGAAAUCUUUAUUAAUCAAUGACUCACUUGAUACAGUGAAGAAAAUAAGUAUUUGAACACCCAAGUUCUCCCACAGUCUGAAAUUUUCAUCGUAGGUGCAUGACCACUGUGAGAGAGAGAAUCUAAAAAGAAAAAUCCAGAAAUCAAAAUGCAUAAUUUUUUUUUAACAACAAAAACAUUUUUUAAUGUUUAAAACUUAUUAUUACAUUCGAAGUGCUGGAAAACCAUUUAUUAAAAUAUAUAGACGUUUUUUUUUUUUAUUAUACUUAGGAGAAAAAGUGAAAAACAUGUCUUAUAUACAUACAGUAUAUACUGUAUAUACAUACAGUAUAUACGGUAUAUACAUAUAUAAAUAUUUCCAAAGCUAAAACUGAAUAAAUCCAUAAAACACCCCCCAAAAAAAUAUUGGAGUGGGGCGGGGGCGCUACUUUGCGGUUUUUCAUUUAUCUCGGCAGGUUCUGGUCCCCAUUAACUGCGAAAA